UACGGGGGGGGCAAGCGUUGUUCGGAAUUACUGGGCGUAAAGGCUCGUAGGUGGCCAACUAAGUCAGACGUGAAAUCCCUCAGCUUAACUGGGGAACUGCGUCUGAUACUGGAUGGCUUGAGAUUGGGAGAGGGAUGCGGAAUUCCAGGUGUAGCGGUGAAAUGCGUAGAUAUCUGGAGGAACACCGGUGGCGAAGGCGGCAUCCUGGACCAACACUGACACUGAGGAGCGAAAGCCAGGGGAGCAAACGGG
rnacentral:rRNA from 1 species